AUUUAAUUCUGUAAAACGUGUACGUAAAUCUCAUCUGGACGUAAAUAUCGUGCGGUUCUCAUAUUUGACGAUUUUGGAAUAUUGAUCGUGGAGGAACUCGAUAGGAAGUAUUAAAGAUGAGAGAUCACCACCGUUGAUUCUGGUUUUGUUCUGAGUAAAUCGGAAGUAACUCAAUACGAAGUAUUAAAGAUGAGAGAUCAGCACCGUUGAUUUGGUUUUUGUUGUCGUGAAU